UGGAUCAGAUGGAUUGGGAUACAAAAGAAGCUGAGGAAGAAAAACUUCAAAUACGUUUACCAGAUCAAACAUGGGGCUCCAGGUUUGGUUGAUAACAUCUAAACAAACUGAACCUGACAUUUCAUCAACAUUUGGAUGGUAGAUCUUGUUGACAAAGCCAAUAGAUGGAGAUUUAUAAGGAUAAGCAUCUGGCAGUUCUACUCUUAUUCUCCACACCCCUCCCUGGUAAGGACUGUCUUUGGGUCCAUUGAAUUCCACAUAAAACUCUUGCAUGACAUCAUUGACCAUCUCCACCUUGUAAUCACUCAUCAUCAGUUUCAUCAAAUCCAUCUCCCGGCGUUUGCUUGGAGAAGACAUUUUCGCCUUUGUCUUGUUUUUCCAGAGAGCUGAGACAGAAGAGAGAAAUAGUUUUUCCCAAAUGAAAAG
rnacentral:misc_RNA from 1 species